rnacentral:lncRNA from 1 species
GUGAACUUUCCAUUUCUAAGUAGCAACAUUCAAGCAGCACCUGCAUACGGGGUAUAUAUCUCCCAAUUGAUACGAUAUUUCCGUGCUUGCAUUUCCUAUCAUGAUUUUCUUGAUAGAGGGUUGCUGCUCACAAGGAAGCUAUUAAACCAAGAGUUCCAAAUGGUGAAGUUGAAAUCAUCCCUUCGUAAAUUUUACGGACGCCAUCACGAGUUGGUUGACCGUUAUGGAAUAACCGUUUCACAAAUGAUAUCGGAUAUGUUCCUUACGUCGUAACUACAAUUCCCUUCCCUUUCAUGAAUGUGACCUACCGAAUUAGACUAUUUACCGGUUUAAAAUUUUGUAAUCACAUAAGCAACACGACGGGUGCCACAUGUGGAGCAGGAUCUGCUUACCCUUCCGGAGCACCUGAGAUCACCCCUAGUUUUUGGUGGGGUUCGUGUUGUUUAUUCUUUAGUUUUCUAUGUUGUGUCAUGUUUACUGUUGU